CGAGAAUCAUUCACAAUGGGCGAAAGCCUGAUGGUGUGACGCCGCGUGGAGGAUGACGGUCUUCGGAUUGUAAACUCCUGUCAUGUGAGAGUAAGAACCAGAUAGUAACUGAUCGUGGUUUUGAGAGUAUCACAAGAGGAAGAGGCGGCUAACUCUGUGCCAGCAGCCGCGGUAAUACAGAGGCCUCAAGCGUUGUUCGGAAUCACUGGGCGUAAAGGGUGCGUAGGCGGCGCGGAAAGUCAGGGGUGAAAUCCCGGAGCUCAACUCCGGAACUGCCUUUGAUACUCCCGCGCUUGAGAACUGGAGGGGACAUCGGAAUUCACGGUGGAGCAGUGAAAUGCGUGGAUAUCGUGAGGAACACUAGUGGCGAAGGCGGAUGUCUGGACAGUAUCUGACGCUGAGGCACGAAGGCCAGGGGAGCGAA
rnacentral:rRNA from 1 species